rnacentral:rRNA from 1 species
UACGGAAGGCAGCAGUGGGGAAUAUUGCACAAUGGGCGCAAGCCUGAUGCAGCCAUGCCGCGUGUAUGAAAAAGGCCUUCGGGUUGUAAAGUACUUUCAGUCGUGAGGAAGGUGUUAAGGUUAAUAACCUUAGCAAUUGACGUUAGCGACAGAAGAAGCACCGGCUAACUCCGUGCCAGCAGCCGCGGUAAUACGGAGGGUGCGAGCGUUAAUCGGAAUUACUGGGCGUAAAGGGCACGCAGGCGGUUAAUUAAGUUGGAUGUGAAAUCCCCGGGCUUAACCUGGGAAUGGCAUUCAAGACUGGUUAGCUAGAGUCUUGUAGAGGGGGGUAGAAUUCCAUGUGUAGCGGUGAAAUGCGUAGAGAUGUGGAGGAAUACCGGUGGCGAAGGCGGCCCCUGGACAAGACUGACGCUCAUGUGCGAAAGCGUGGGGAGCAAACGAGGAUUAGA